UCCCUCUUUAUUCUUACGACUGCUUCUCCAGGGCUCUCCUUUCUUUGUGAUUACCUGAACUUGGGUCGCUAUGGCCCCAUGGCCUCCCUGUUCCUAGGGUGGUGAGAGGGUGAGUCCCAGCAGGUUCCACCAUCUGUGUCCAGAAUGCCCAGCAGGUUCCACCAUCUGUGUCCAGAAUGCCCAGCAGGUUCCACCAUCUGUGUCCAGAAUGCCCAGCAGGUACCACCAUCUGUGUCCAGAAUGCCCAGCAGGUUCCACCAUCUGUGUCCAGAAUGCCCAGCAGGUUCCACCAUCUGUGUCCAGAAUGCCAGAUGGCUGCUUGUACAAAUGUCGAGUCACCGUGCUGGUCGGAAGGACAAGUAUGGCCUUGGCUUGUGGAGCUGGGAGAAGCAGAUCAGUUGGAGUUCUUGGUGGCAACCAAGAGAAACACAGAAAGUGCUCUGGCGAGUCAUGACAGAAAAGGAGCUUAUCAAAAAGGCAAUGAUUUUUUUAAACGGGCAAGGGAUUUGAAUAGACAGUUCUCCAAAGAAGAUGUACAAAUGGCCAACAAUCACGUGUUAAGAUCUUCACCACCACUAGCCAUUAGGCAAUCCAAAUAGAAACCAGAAUGAAACACCACUUCACAUCCAUUAGGGAGGCUGUUAGCAACAAAACAGACAGUAGCGAGCGUUGAUGAGUGUCAGUAAUGCCUAAUGCCAGGAGCCGCGUUAGGCAUUACUGACAGAUGAGGGCAGGGACUCGUUGGGGCCCUCGUACAUUGCUGGUGGGAAAGUAGAGGGGUGCAGUCACCGUGGAAGACCGUGUGACGAUUCCCUGCAAAGUUAAGCACCACUACCACAUGACCCAGCAACCUAACUCCUAGGAAUCACUGAAGAGACAUGAAAACAAGUUCUCAAGCAAAUUCUUAAACACAAAAUUCACAGCAGCAUUAUUCACUAGACAAAAGGUAGAAACAACCUCAAAGUCCACCAAUGUUUAAAUAGCUAAACAUAGCAGUGUAUACAUGCAAUGGAGCAUUAUUCAACCAUUACAAGGAAUGAAGGGGACUUCCCACUAGGGGUGGUCUAGUGGCUAAGACUCUGUUCUCCCGAUGCGGGGAUCGCAGGUUUGACCCCUAAUCAGGGAACUAGAUCCCACCCGCUGCCACUAAAAAUCCUGUGUGCCACAGCUAAGGCCCGGUGCAGCCAAACAAAUAUUUUUUAGAAAAAGGAAUGAAGUACUACUAAUACAGGCUACCAGGUGGAUAAACCUUGAACACACUAUUUUAAGUGAAAG
ensembl:lncRNA